GCGUCGUUCGGGUCAACGGCAGUCUCGUGCGUGAAAGUAUCACUUUCCGCACUAGUUAAGAAAAUAACUAUUUCAAUCGAUUGUACGAAUCUAACAAACAUAUGUGUUAUACCUCUUUCAGCAAUGAUAUUUCUGUGUACCAGACCAGAGUGCGAACAUUUUUCGCAUCACCCUCGUUUUAUCUUUUUAUAUCAUUUGAUGUUAAAUUUUAAUGAAAUAAUAAAGGUUAUUGAUCGAAAUACUAAAACGACGCACCAAAUCAAGUUUGGUUUCAACAAUUCUAAAUUCAACUCUUUCACUUCUCCACGAACAAGGAAGACAACCUCACUUCACGCGCAAAUUAUGUGAAUGUGUGUAUUUAUUUUUAGAAGUGGUACCUGAAUUAAAUCAAUAAUUAUGAUUUCAAUUACUAUUUAAAUACGUUAAACACCAUUAAAGAUAUUGGUCCAGCAAAAAUGCAUUUAUUCAUGGAUACCUACCUACAAGAACGCAAACGUUUUAAGAAACUCUUAACACGUCUUUCCAAGAAAACCAAAAAUGAUAAGAAAUACACUCUCACAUCUACUGCCAAAAAGGCUGCUACCGAUCACAGCCCAAAAAACAAGGAAAUCAUCGACAGUUAUAUCUCCUUCUGUUCGUAUAAAUAGGUUACUGUACAUAUUACAAUAUUUGUAAAUCAGUAAGCAAAUAAAUGAAUUGAAUAACUCCA
rnacentral:lncRNA from 1 species